rnacentral:tRNA from 1 species
GGACAUGUUCGCGGACGUGGAGGCGGCCCGCGCCUCGUUCGCGCGGCUCGUCGGCGUCCCGGUGAGCCGGGUCGCGGCCGGCGCGUCGG